GAUGAACGCUGGCGGCGUGCCUAAUACAUGCAAGUCGAGCGAAUGGAUUAAGAGCUUGCUCUUAUGAAGUUAGCGGCGGACGGGUGAGUAACACGUGGGUAACCUGCCCAUAAGACUGGGAUAACUCCGGGAAACCGGGGCUAAUACCGGAUAACAUUUUGAACCGCAUGGUUCGAAAUUGAAAGGCGGCUUCGGCUGUCACUUAUGGAUGGACCCGCGUCGCAUUAGCUAGUUGGUGAGGUAACGGCUCACCAAGGCAACGAUGCGUAGCCGACCUGGGAGGGGGAUCGGCCACACUGGGACGGAGACACGGCCCAGGCUCCGACGGGAGGCAGCAGUAGGGAAUCUUCCGCAAUGGACGAAAGUCUGACGGAGCAACGCCGCGUGAGUGAUGAAGGCUUUCGGGUCGUAAAACUCUGUUGUUAGGGAAGAACAAGUGCUAGUUGAAUAAGCUGGCACCUUGACGGUACCUAACCAGAAAGCCACGGCUAACUACGUGCCAGCAGCCGCCGUAA
rnacentral:rRNA from 1 species